rnacentral:tRNA from 1 species
GCCGGUUUAGCUCAGCAGGUAGAGCAGCUGAUUUGUAAUCAGAAGGUCGUGGGUUCGAUUCCUAUAACCGGCA